ensembl:snRNA U6 U6 spliceosomal RNA
GUGCUUGCUUUGGCAGCACAUAUACUAAAAUUGGAAUGAUACAGAGAAGAUUAGCAUGGCCCCUGGGCAAGGAUGACACGCAAAUUCGUGAAGUGUUCCAUAUUAAA